UUGGAUAGGAAAAAUGAUAUCUCUAACCACGUUCCUAUUGAAGAAUGAGUCGGUGAAUUAUAGGCAGUGGCUUGGUUAAGGGAACCCACCGAAGUUGUAGCGAGAGUGAUUCUUCAUGGGGCAAUUUUCACUACUUAUGGACCCAAACCUAGGUGAUCUAUCCAUGACUAGGAUGAAGCUUGGGUGAAACUAAGUGGAGGUUCGAAUUGACUGAUGUUGAAAAAUUAGUGGAUGAGUCGUGGUUAGGGGUGAAAUGCCACUUGAAACCAGAGCUAGUUGGUUCUCCCCGAAAUGCGUUGAUGUGCAGUAGUUUACUGGACCAUCUAGGGGUAAAUCAUUGUUUUGGUAUAGGCCACGAGAGCAGGAUCGAGCGCUCUUGCGCCGAAGAUGAACAGGACUAAGCAAUCUGUCGAAGCUGUGGGCUGUAAAAAUACAUCGGUAGGGGAGUGUUCUGUCUUAGAGGGAAGCACUGGCGUGAGUAGGUGUGGAUGAAGCGGAAGUGAGAAUGUCGGC
rnacentral:ncRNA from 1 species